CAGGUGUAGCGGUGAAAUGCGUAGAGAUCUGGAGGAAUACCGGUGGCGAAGGCGGCCCCCUGGACAAAGACUGACGCUCAGGUGCGAAAGCGUGGGGAGCAAACAGGAUUAGAUACCCUGGUAGUCCACGCCGUAAACGAUGUCUACUUGGAGGUUGUGCCCUUGAGGCGUGGCUUCCGGAGCUAACGCGUUAAGUAGACCGCCUGGGGAGUACGGCCGCAAGGUUAAAACUCAAAUGAAUUGACGGGGGCCCGCACAAGCGGUGGAGCAUGUGGUUUAAUUCGAUGCAACGCGAAGAACCUUAC
rnacentral:rRNA from 1 species